rnacentral:misc_RNA from 1 species
ACCCAAUUAUCGCGCCCAGCUGACCACCCAUAUCUCGAUCCCUGCGGCCUACAAAGCUGGUAUAACUCUGUAUGUUCGUCAAAACACUGAAGUGGCACAAGAGCUUUUUAAUGCACCUGAGCUAGAGUUUAAGGACUAGGAAUGCUCCGUCAACUUUGACCUCUCCUGUAUCAUCACCUUGGUAACUUGGUGCUUUUCAGCAUUAUUUCAGGUGGCUUCAACUUGAGUCUUUCCGCAUAUUUUUUUUUCAAACCAAUGCCUAAAAGUGCUGUUUGUUACUUUUAACUGUUAGUGAUUGUGUGCAUGGACUUUUGUUUUAUUACUCUUACCAGUGAAUCUUUAAUCUGAAGUUCUCUAUAAUUUUGAGCCAAUAUUCUAUUUUUCAUCAUUAACAUAUGUUAGAUAUGUUCUUUACUGUAGGUAAUGCCCUCUGCUAAGACAUGGCUAUUCAUUGUGUAUAUUUAUAAAUGUAUGUACCUGUUGAAAAAUUCCACUGAGGCAGUGUAAUCAAUAAUUAUACAUUGUAAACAUAUGUACUGUACAUUUACAGGUUUGGAAAUUCUCUUAACAGAAAUAUUAAAAUAUAUAUUUGGUGAUUCAUUUGACCAUAUUUUGUUGUCAUGUAUUUCAAUAAUACAUUGUAUUGGUUGAUGCCUGUUUUAACAGUGUUUCAGUGUGAUGCAAGAUGAAUUCCAUUUAUCAUUACCUGUAAUAAACAUCCUUUUGAUUUCAUUUUAUUAGAACUUGCUAAUGACUGUGUGAAUAUUUUGCAAAAAAAAUGAAGCCCUCAUAACUGAUGAUAUUUGAAUUAGAUUUAUAGAUUCUAAAUCAUUAUUUUUCACGAGAACAAGACAGGCAUAACAAAUAGAAUUUAAUGUAUGAUAUGAUAAUUGUACAUACUUGUAGUAUUGAAAGUCGAACAUAAUGUGUAUUUGUGGAUUCCUACACUUUCACUAGUGCUUACGAGACUCGGCACACGUUUAGUAUACACUGUAAGAUAAUUCUUCCAAUGGAUUCAUUGCCUUUGCCUUGAAAGCUUGUUAUUUUUCAAAGUAUUUGUACACUGACUUCAUCUUUCAAGAUUUUAUGAGAUUUUAUCCAACUCUUUAUUUUUUUGAACAAGAACUGCAGGUCUGAUUGUAAUGAUUUUGACCAAAGAUUAACUUUAUUUUUACAUGUAUCUAAAUCUUCGUUUAAAGUGUGGCACGGAUGUUUACAAGAAUGAUAUAAACCGGUUUACUGUGAGAAUGACUUGACGACUAGUGAGGAGGGAAUUCUUUGUUUUACUGAGGAGAGAGUCCAUUACUUUCUUAUGCUACAUAAUCAUGUUACAGAAUCGCUACAAAAUAGUACUGUGGUGUUCUCAAUAUUGGGUUGUUUGUGGUAUUAAAUCAAUGUAUUUUUUCUUCCCUUUACCAUUGCUAUUUAGAAAGGAUUUUGCAAGUAGUUAAGAUGGAUGCAUAAUAAGAUUAUGUGUUUGUAUUCUUUAUACAUUUAUGUAUGUAUGUAUGAUCAAUGAUGUACUUGUGUACAUGCAAUGCAAAAAAUAAAUCAUGCUAGACUCUC